rnacentral:misc_RNA from 1 species
AAAGUCGUAACAAGGUUUCCGUAGGUGAACCUGCGGAAGGAUCAUUAGUAGAUUCUUUCUUUUUUUGGAAGAUGUUCCAUGUGCACUGUUUCUUAGAAGCCGUUAUUUUUGACUUUUUUUUUGACUCUAUGAGUUGCAAUAAAAAAAAAAACUUUCAACAACGGAUCUCUUGGCUCUC